rnacentral:rRNA from 1 species
AUCAAAAACAUCUCCCCUUGGAAUUUAUAAGGGGUACCGCCUGCUCAAUGCAUUAGUAAAUAGCCGCAGUAUUCUGACUGUGCUAAGGUAGCAUAAUCAUUAGUCUCUUAAUUAGAGGCUGGUAUGAAUGGUGAGACGAGAAAAAAGCUGUCUCUAAAAUAAUUUUUGAAUUUUAUUUUUAAGUGAAAAAGCUUAAAUGAAUUUGGGGGACGAUCAGACCCUUUGGAGCUUUAUUAUUUUGGAGUUUUAGGUUACUUUUGAUAACAAAAAUUUUAUUGUAAUUUUGUUGGGGCGACAAAAAGUAAAAAAGACCACUUUUUUAAAAAAACAUAAAUAUAUGGAAAAUUGAUCCCUAUUGAAGGAUUAAAAGACUAAGUUACCCUAGGGAUAACAGCGUAAUCUUUUUGGAGAAUUCAUGAUCUGAGUUCAGACCGGACCUCGCCUGUUAUCAAAAACAUAUACGUG